ACUCGGGUGAAGGAACUAGGCAAAAUGGUGCCGUAACUUCGGGAGAAGGCACGCUGAUAUGUAGGUGAAGUCCCUGCGGACGGAGCUGAAAUCAGUCGAAGAUACCAGCUGGCUGCAACUGUUUAUUAAAAACACAGCACUGUGCAAACACGAAAGU
rnacentral:rRNA from 1 species